rnacentral:rRNA from 1 species
GACGAACGCUGGCGGCGUGCCUAAUACAUGCAAGUUGAGCGCUGAAGGUUGGUACUUGUACCAACUGGAUGAGCAGCGAACGGGUGAGUAACGCGUGGGGAAUCUGCCUUUGAGCGGGGGACAACAUUUGGAAACGAAUGCUAAUACCGCAUAAAAACUUUAAACACAAGUUUUAAGUUUGAAAGAUGCAAUUGCAUCACUCAAAGAUGAUCCCGCGUUGUAUUAGCUAGUUGGUGAGGUAAAGGCUCACCAAGGCGAUGAUACAUAGCCGACCUGAGAGGGUGGUCGGCCACAUUGGGACUGAGACACGGCCCAAACUCCUACGGGAGGCAGCAGUAGGGAAUCUUCGGCAAUGGACGAAAGUCUGACCGAGCAACGCCGCGGGAGUGAAGAAGGUUUUCGGAUCGUAAAACUCGGUUGGUAGAGAAGAACGUUGGUGAGAGUGGAAAGCUCAUCAAGUGACGGUAACUACCCAGAAAGGGACGGCUAACUACGUG